AUAUAUUUUUUUAUUUAAUUAUUAUUUUGUUUAUAGUAGAGGUAGUUUACACCCAGACUCACACUCCAUUUCGGUAGGUGGCGGUAAUGCUUCCAAAAAGUUGUUUGCCAACCGCCAAUUAAAAGAAGAAGAAGAGGCACCAUCAUUAGCUUCUGAUUAGCUUAGCAUCGUAAAUCCAUGCGGUGCUUCCUCGUGCAGUAGCGGUGGGGAAUGAGAGAGAAACCAGUGCUGCAGUGAAGUCAGGUUAAAUUAUAGCCUUACAGAAUUUGAUUUCUUUAUUUUCGUAAAAAACGAUUUCAGAAGCAAGUUUUUAGAACAAAUCUAAAUUAUUGUGCUUAAUUGUUGAAGUGGAUGGAUGGAUGAUUGUAGUGAAACGCCUCCUUGAAGGAGAAUGUACGAUACUUAACCAAUAACUUUUUGACCAGUUUGAACUGCUUGUAUUGAAUUUUGUGACCAAUAACUUUACAAACUGAAAUCAAUACAAAAUACAACUUAUUCAUUACAUAUAUUUACAUCUCUCGUACAGUGCUACAGUAGAAAAAAUGACAAAGGGGACAAAAUAGGGUGAAAAUUUUGCUGUUGAACUUUCCAUAUAUUUUUGAGAAAAUGAUCCAAAAUGAAGCUUAAAUUGCACCACAGAGCAGCUAAAACCUCAGCAUCUCUGAGUUAAGGCAUUUAUUUUUUUUUAAUUUAUUCAAAAUGUAACUUGGGUGAUUGUAUUUUCAUUUGAAGGAGGUAAAUGAGGUCCUGUAACUUUGCUGGCUUCAUUUGUAAAAGUUAUUUUUUUAUUUUAGUAAGUCUAUAAAAGACUAUAUUUUAAUUGCAGGGACCCGAGUCCAUUAAAGCACGAUUAUAAAAAUGUACAGUCUGUUAGUAUUAUUAAACCAAGAAAAGCAGAAUGGGUAUCAGCAGGUCAGACUCCAGACAAAACUGACAAUCAGUAGUGAGGGGUUUUUAAUGCAUGUUUUAUUAACGUUGUUGUUGUUGUUUCCUCAAUAAGUCAUUAAUUUGAACCCCUGCCUCUGAAGAGAAGAUGAAAAGAAGUUGCUCGAGUAUUAUUGUGCAUGGGUAUGUUUGUAUAUAAUGUGGAAAACUCUGUCUACUUGGUGUAAAAUGUAUAAACGCAGUCUGUCAUGCAGAAGGACGCCGGGGGUCUCUGGGGUUGGACGGGUUGUGGACACAGUCCCUACAUGCCCCGAUACACAAUCCUUCUGUCUUAUUUUCAUUUGAGUUAUGGCAUGGAAAAAUCCUCAAAGCUGUCAUUCAUGAACGGUCCACUCCACAUAUAAUCUUUGGUCACAAAACUGUAAAGGUUUCCCAAAUCAACAUUUCAGCCACUUCAAAUCAAUAUCAGUGCCCCCUACUGCCGAUUUUCUGAAUCGAGCCGAAAAGUUAAUCUACUCCGCCAGCGUCGCCAUGACUGAAAAUCAUGUGAUUGCAUUCCUGUACGCUGAUUGGCCAACACUCGAACGUUGUUUGUGAACCUUACACGCCGUGCUGUUUUACCUAUCAGUAUCCCCCAAUCGGUGCACCCAAAUAAACAUGAGAAUAACCUAGUGUAUCAUAAAUUUAGACUUUGUGUACUACUUGUUUAAUUUCUAAUCCUUCUGUACCGUGACAGUGUGCUGUGAGCCUUUAGUCCCUUUUCUGUUUCUCAUUUUGAUAGUUCACAUUUAAAACAUGGGUGCAUGGUUUCUUGCAGAGGAAUUGAACGUCACUUACCUUUCAAUCAAUCAGCACACAGCAACGCAUCACGUGGUUUCCAAAAUGGCAGUGCCAGUGGAGUAGACUGGAAGUUCUCUUCCUGGUUGAAAAAAAUUGACCAUUUGGAUCAAUAUUAUGGACUUGAAUUGAAUAACAUGUUGGGGCGAAUAAUCUUUACUGGUUCAUGAUGAAAAUAAGGUUGGUAGAUUGGCUGUGGAGGGAGCAGUUUACGAAAUGCGUGACUUCUAACAUGGGAACCCCCAGCUUUGUGAUUUUCUUUCAUUCGUUCGCUCAUUCAUUCAUUCAUUCAUUCAUUCUUCUCUUCCGUGUCCUAGCUUGUUGGGAAAGAAGACAAGGUGGAUUGUAUAUUGGGGCAUGUAGCGACUGGUUAUACAGGGUUUUGUUGGUGCCACACAGGCUGGUUUGAGUGUUUCUCACACGUGAUUUCACACACCAUUCUCUAAAGUUUAUACAGAAGGGUGUGUAAACCCUUAAACUGUGCUGACUGUAACUCAGAUAACCACUCGUUACAACCGUGGUGAGCAGAAAAGCAUCUCAGAACACAUAACCAGGGCUUUCCUCAGAAAAAAAAUAUCAGAGCUGAGCUAGCCCGGCCUGGAGGGCCCCAAAGGCUGCUAGGGGGAUCUAGGAGCAUGCUCCCUGAGAAAAUUUUGAAAUUAGUCUUCAAAUGGUGCAUUCUGGUGGCAUCAAGGGCUGACUUAGGCACAAGUCAACAUUUAUUAAAUUUGCCUUUUUUUUUAAAUAACCCUGACAGAUGUGCAAGCGGGAAAAUUUAAAGGGCAAAAUUAGAUUUGAAAUGAAAACACUUUGUUGCACGCCUCUUCAUUUUCCACUUCCAGGAUGCCAGGAACAGAAUUGAGGUCAAAUCAUACAAUGGCGCCAUCGAGCGCCCAGAAGGUGGUUUUAUGUGUGGUUGCGAAUGGCAGUCAGUGCAUGCAGCGACACCCUUUAUUUUCACUUCUGGGUUGAGUACUAGGAUACCAGGCAUAUAUAUAUUACAAUAGCUACCUAUUUCUAUCGUUACAGUACUCCUCAUUUUCAGAGAAGAAUACGAGGUAUUUAGAUGCUGAAAGUACUUUGCAUUGCUCAACUUGUGGUGUUGACUUUUUUUUUUCCCUUUUUGGUGCGCAAAUGACAGCGCGGCGCUGACGUCACACAGCGUGGCAGAGUGCCGCGUGUCGACACUUUGGGGAAAAGCCCUGGUAUCUACACAAGACCAUAACCUGGCUCAGCUUGCUCUUCAUAUUUCUGAUAGACAAAGUGUCGGGGCAGAUCACCACAGCUGAAGCUGUUAUAGGAGACUCUGUGAUCUUAUUGUGUUCAGCCGGUCGCUAUGAAAAGGACGUGUUCUGGCGAUAUGAUAACACCAAGACGGUGUACGACAUCAUCAACGGUAAAGAGAAUUUUCAUGACCAGGAUUCAGCAUACAGGAGCAGAGUCGAAGGUUUUCAAUCGGAGUUCACAAAAAGGAAUUAUUCCAUCAGAUUAAGUGAUGUGAAACACACUGAUAGAGGAAUUUACAGCUGCCACAUCCCUGGCUCCAGGAUUCUCCAAGUAGAGCUGAAGGUUCAAGAGUAUGCAGUGAGGGAUGAACAGCACAAAUUUGCGCAAACAAGCCGCGGAGCGAGAAGACGGUCUGACACUCGUUUGCUUUUCUCUGCAGCUCUGUUGGGACUGAGUGUAUGGUUUUGUUGGAGCAUUUGAUUUUUGAUCAUUUGGUAGAACACCUACAGCUUUCUUUCUGAUGAAAAAACAUUUUAUACUGUACAUCAAUAAGUGCUGUAUUUUUUUUAUAAAGAUUAAAUAUUUUGUCCCGA